rnacentral:rRNA from 2 species
UACGUAGGUGGCAAGCGUUGUCCGGAAUUAUUGGGCGUAAAGCGCGCGCAGGCGGUCCUUUAAGUCUGAUGUGAAAGCCCACGGCUCAACCGUGGAGGGUCAUUGGAAACUGGGGGACUUGAGUGCAGAAGAGGAAAGCGGAAUUCCACGUGUAGCGGUGAAAUGCGUAGAGAUGUGGAGGAACACCAGUGGCGAAGGCGGCUUUCUGGUCUGUAACUGACGCUGAGGCGCGAAAGCGUGGGGAG